rnacentral:rRNA from 1 species
CAAGUCGAGGGGCAGCAUGGUCUUAGCUUGCUAAGGCUGAUGGCGACCGGCGCACGGGUGAGUAACACGUAUCCAACCUGCCGUCUACUCUUGGCCAGCCUUCUGAAAGGAAGAUUAAUCCAGGAUGGGAUCAUGAGUUCACAUGUCCGCAUGAUUAAAGGUAUUUUCCGGUAGACGAUGGGGAUGCGUUCCAUUAGAUAGUAGGCGGGGUAACGGCCCACCUAGUCAACGAUGGAUAGGGGUUCUGAGAGGAAGGUCCCCCACAUUGGAACUGAGACACGGUCCAAACUCCUACGGGAGGCAGCAGUGAGGAAUAUUGGUCAAUGGGCGAUGGCCUGAACCAGCCAAGUAGCGUGAAGGAUGACUGCCCUAUGGGUUGUAAACUUCUUUUAUAAAGGAAUAAAGUCGGGUAUGCAUACCCGUUUGCAUGUACUUUAUGAAUAAGGAUCGGCUAACUCCGUGCCAGCAGCCGCGGUAAUACGGAGGAUCCGAGCGUUAUCCGGAUUUAUUGGGUUUAAAGGGAGCGUAGAUGGAUGUUUAAGUCAGUUGUGAAAGUUUGCGGCUCAACCGUAAAAUUGCAGUUGAUACUGGAUGUCUUGAGUGCAGUUGAGGCAGGCGGAAUUCGUGGUGUAGCGGUGAAAUGCUUAGAUAUCACGAAGAACUCCGAUUGCGAAGGCA